GUGCCAGCCAGUCAUUGCUGUUCUUUGCAUUGCUGAGGAGGACAGUCCUGCCAACAAAACAGUUUGUUCAAUAACAGGAGACAAACAGAAACACAGAGGUGCUAUACAUUCCGAUUGAAAAGACAACAAAAGCAUCUCCCAUCAUUUUGGCGUGGCUCAGAUCAAGAGGAGAAUUUUAAGAAAGGUGAUGGUUGGGCACACACAAGAAGACAUAGAUCACAUGUGUCCAGGCAUAUGAGUAGACAGGAGUUUCACACUCUGCCAAACUUACUUCAUCAGAGGAGCAGAAAGCUUCUCAAGAUCCCGCACUGCACACUUAGAUAAAGUCUUUGACUACAACAAGGGGAUGAAAGUACAGAGAGGUCCAAUUGAAAUCAAUUCUGUGCUGCGUCAUUUCUUCAUUCUGGAAGUCGAUGGACAUGAUUUAUCAUGGCAUCAGGUGUGCAGUUUGUCGACUAUCAGCAGUCUUGUUCACCAGUUGUGCAACUUGAGCUGGUAGCUUUAUUGCUUGAAGCCACAGCAUAAGAGGGGGAAGGUGCAGGCUCAUCAAAAAGUCUCAAAAGUUGAAACUAGGAAAAGAAGUUUGUCAAGAGUGUGAAUCUAUUUGCUUUGAAAACCAUCGUUACGAUGAUUUGGUUUCCUUUGAAACUUGAUACAUAAUAUGUGUAUGUUGAAUGAAUUGAGAUGCUUAAAUAAAGAACCGCUAUUCAAAUAUCAGGAAACUGCAUUUUUCAUACUAAAGGGUAAAUGAUGUCGCCAUUUCCUGUAUGUAUUUAAAUGAGAUAUGUUUCCACAAUUAAUAUUUUUAGGGAAUUUUUCUCAUCCUAAUGAAUGAGAUUAAAUUGUACAGCGUUAUAUGAGCUUAAUAUGUGUUUUCUGUUUCUUUAAAAUUGGUGAAAAAUUGUCAGAAGAUAAUUAGACCAGUAUCCAUUACUGCAAUCAUACAAUCAAAUAUACAGGGACAAACCAACUGGGCAUAUAAUAUAAUUAAACCCUGUUUAGGGGCACGAGGCAAACAGAGUUACUUUCAAACGUUAAAGCUGCACUCUCACAUUUUGGACGUUUUGACAACUUUUCUCAUUUUAUGUCUUGGAUUGGAAACAUCCAAUUUUUGCGAAAAAUUAAAUGGCAGAUUUUUCUAUUUAAGUUAAAACAUUGAUGUUUUAUGCACUUUUCUUAAACCGUUAGUAACAUUAAUUUUCGAACGGAAAUAUGAAAUCUGUGAUCUGAUCUUUUGUCAGCAAUCUUUUAUCAUUGGUUUGCAGAUAAUUACGCAAAAAAUUGCUCAUUCAAAAACAAAAAAAGUUGUGAAAACGGUAUAUCUGUGGGAGUGCAGCUCUAAAUGUUUAAUUUCUUGAUUUUACUACUGUAUUAGA